GAAGCGGUAGCUCAACGGUAAGAGCUCUGGCUCUGGUAUGCCAAGAGGUGCGGGUUCGAAUCCCGCCCGCUUCG